rnacentral:rRNA from 1 species
UACGUAGGGGCCCAGCGUUGUCCGGAUUCAUUGGGCGUAAAGCGCGCGCAGGCGGCCCGGUGUGUCGCCCGUGAAAUCCCCCGGCUCAACCGGGGGGGGUCGGGCGAGACUGUCGGGCUGGAGGCGGGUAGGGGGCAGCGGAAUUCCCGGUGUAGUGGUGGAAUGCGUAGAUAUCGGGAGGAACACCAGUGGCGAAGGCGGCUGCCUGGACCCGGCCUGACGCUGAGGCGCGAAAGCGUGGGGAGCGAUCCGG